AGCAGUCGCCGCGGGAAAACGGAGGGUGCAAGCGUUGUCCGGAUUUAUUGGGUUUAAAGGGUGCGUAGGCGGCCUAAUAAGUCAGUGGUGAAAGCCUCCAGCUUAACUGGAGAACUGCCAUUGAUACUGUUAGGCUUGAGUAUACUUGAGGUAGGCGGAAUUGACAGUGUAGCGGUGAAAUGCAUAGAUAUUGUCAAGAACACCAAUUGCGAAGGCAGCUUACUAAAUUAUAACUGACGCUGAGGCACGAAAGUGUGGGUAUCAAACAGGAUUAGAUACCCGCGUAGUCCCUGUCUCUUAUAC
rnacentral:rRNA from 1 species